CUUAUCCUGUUGCCAUGCAGCGUAAUGGUGGGGAACUGCCAGGGAGACGUGCCGGUGAUAACCGGAGGAAGGUGGGGAGCGACGUCAAUCAUCAUGGCCCUUACGAGUAGGGCUACUUAUCCUGUUGCCAUGCAGCGUAAUGGUGGGGAACUGCCAGGGAGACGUGCCGGUGAUAACCGGAGGAAGGUGGGGAGCGACGUCAAUCAUCAUGGCC
rnacentral:rRNA from 1 species